AGGUGUGGGUUCUUAAUGAUGAGAUCCUGGCUGACUGAAAAGUGAGCUCCAUCAGGAGUGACUGGGCUGCUCAGGAAUCUGGAGACAGACACGGAACACCAUCUACCCCUGUUCCCACCCCAUGGCUGGAGAGACUAUCCCUUUAAGAAAAGACUUUGGGGACAGAACCCAAGAACAUAAAUAAAGUGUGGCUGCCUCGCUCUCUAAAGAAGGUUGAGGAGACAGAUUUUGGAAGUUUUGGUGUUCAAGUAGAAUACCGGCAUGAAGAGAGGAUGCUUGGAGCCGCAGAAGUCUGUAUAGAAGCCCUAGGGGGACGCAAGCAUGGGAUGAGUAGGAAGGAUCUCCUGCAUGCAGCCCAUGGGGGUUCAGCCAGUGUCCCUUUCCUGCCUGGUCCAUGUUUGCCUGGCUUUUUAAUUCAAGACUCCAGGAGUAAAGCCCCAACAAAACAAUAUCUUAGAAGGAAUGAGGAGCUGACCAUCCAACCAAUACCUGCACAUGAAUCCACACCGAGAGCAGACACCAGGAGCCCAGGAUUCUGCUUUGCUC
rnacentral:lncRNA from 1 species